rnacentral:rRNA from 1 species
UGCAAACUGCGAAUACCGGAGAAUGUUAUCACGGGAGACACACGGCGGGUGCUAACGUCCGUCGUGAAGAGGGAAACAACCCAGACCGCCAGCUAAGGUCCCAAAGUCAUGGUUAAGUGGGAAACGAUGUGGGAAGGCCCAGACAGCCAGGAUGUUGGCUUAGAAGCAGCCAUCAUUUAAAGAAAGCGUAAUAGCUCACUGGUCGAGUCGGCCUGCGCGGAAGAUGUAACGGGGCUAAACCAUGCACCGAAGCUGCGGCAGCGACACUAUGUGUUGUUGGGUAGGGGAGCGUUCUGUAAGCCUGUGAAGGUGGCCUGUGAGGGUUGCUGGAGGUAUCAGAAGUGCGAAUGCUGACAUAAGUAACGAUAAAGCGGGUGAAAAGCCCGCUCGCCGGAAGACCAAGGGUUCCUGUCCAACGUUAAUCGGGGCAGGGUGAGUCGACCCCUAAGGCGAGGCCGAAAGGCGUAGUCGAUGGGAAACAGGUUAAUAUUCCUGUACUUGGUGUUACUGCGAAGGGGGGACGGAGAAGGCUAUGUUGGCCGGGCGACGGUUGUCCCGGUUUAAGCGUGUAGGCUGGUUUUCCAGGCAAAUCCGGAAAACCAAGGCUGAGGCGUGAUGAC